AAAUAUUUAGAAACGUAAUUUCAUUUUGAAUGAGAGCAAUGGCUUAGUGGAUGCUAAAGCAAGGUUGAGGAAUGUGCAUAGGGAAGAAAGUGAGUUUGAAUCCCAUUCUUUCCUUGUUUUAAGAACUUUUCCUUUUUAUGUUCAAAGACCAAAUUUGUAUGUAUGUUAUUUCUAUAAAAAUAUCCAAAUUCUAUAUUUUUUUUCUUUUUUCAAAAUUUUAUUUAUUAUUAAUAUUUACAGUUAAUAUUUUU
rnacentral:lncRNA from 1 species